GAUGAACGCUGGCGGCGUGCCUAAUACAUGCAAGUCGAGCGAAUGGAUUAAGAGCUUGCUCUUAUGAAGUUAGCGGCGGACGGGUGAGUAACACGUGGGUAACCUGCCCAUAAGACUGGGAUAACUCCGGGAAACCGGGGCUAAUACCGGAUAACAUUUUGAAUCGCAUGGUUCGAAAUUGAAAGGCGGCUUCGGCUGUCACUUAUGGAUGGACCCGCGUCACAUUAGCUAGUUGGUGAGGUAACGGCUCACCAAGGCAACGAUGCGUAGCCGACCUGAGAGGGUGAUCGGCCACACUGGGACUGAGACACGGCCCAGACUCCUACGGGAGGCAGCAGUAGGGAAUCUUCCGCAAUGGACGAAAGUCUGACGGAGCAACGCCGCGUGAGUGAGGAAGGCUUUCGGGUCGUAAAACUCUGUUGUUAGGGAAGAACAAGUGCUAGUUGAAUAAGCUGGCACCUUGACGGUACCUAACCAGAAAGCCACGGCUAACUACGUGCCAGCCGCCGCAGUAA
rnacentral:rRNA from 1 species